rnacentral:lncRNA from 1 species
AUAAAUAAUACUCCUUAAGAACUUGUUACAGAUUUUAGUGCAUUCAGGCAGGACACCUCUACACAUUUUUCUAUUUCCUUCCCUCUCUUAACUGUGCUAAAUGAAAUUAGUCAUAAACAAGGUUCAAGAUGAACUAAACAAGCAUGAACAACAAGAAACAUCUUGUUUUAUUUUCAUCCCAUCUCUGUACUCCAGUGAGGUAAAAAGAGUCAAAUAUCCCAUGCAUGACCUAUGAGCCCACAAUCUAUAAGAAAACAAAGUCACUUCGUAAAAAAAAAAGAAAACAGAGUUUUGUUAGCAAAAUAAGGUAGAUUUCAGUUAGUCUUUGUUAUUUUAAACCAGAACUUCCUUUCUACGGGCUGUA